AACGGGUCACCAGUCCAUCACUGUUGUGAUGGACUGGUGACCCGUCCAGGGUGAACCCCGCCUCUCAUCUGAUGACUGCUGGAGAUGGGCGCCACCAGCCCCCACUUCACCACCCUGCAAGGAUCAACGUGUUCAGAUCAUAGAUGGAAAGUUUUUAAGGCAAAGAAGACACCCAGAAAUGGUUUUUUUCACUCCAGGCAUCCGGUCUCAAUCAUCAUCAGUUCUGAUGAUGCCACAUGCAUAGCGAGUCCACAACGUCUUAAAAUCGUUUCUGUAAAGUCUAGUGGUGCAGUUAAUGGGAAAGUUCCAUUGUUGAUCCUCACUGGUCUUAGGAAGGAGAAACGUCAGUUUGUCUGGAGUAAUACUGUGACAUUGUAUUAAAACGAUACUCUGUC